rnacentral:rRNA from 1 species
AGUGAACGCUGGCGGUAGACCUAACACAUGCAAGUCGAACGGCAGCACAGUAAGAGCUUGCUCUUACGGGUGGCGAGUGGCGGACGGGUGAGGAAUACAUCGGAAUCUACUUUUUCGUGGGGGAUAACGUAGGGAAACUUACGCUAAUACCGCAUACGACCUACGGGUGAAAGCAGGGGAUCUUCGGACCUUGCGCGAUUGAAUGAGCCGAUGUCGGAUUAGCUAGUUGGCGGGGUAAAGGCCCACCAAGGCGACGAUCCGUAGCUGGUCUGAGAGGAUGAUCAGCCACACUGGAACUGAGACACGGUCCAGACUCCUACGGGAGGCAGCAGUGGGGAAUAUUGGACAAUGGGCGCAAGCCUGAUCCAGCCAUACCGCGUGUGUGAAGAAGGCCUUCGGGUUGUAAAGCCCUUUUGUUGGGAAAGAAAAGCAGCAGGUUAAUACCCCGCUGUUCUGACGGUACCCAAAGAAUAAGCACCGGCUAACUUCGUG